CAUAUCAUCAGAACAGAACCAGCAGGGUUGUCUAUUCAAUAUGCCUGCAGUGGCCUGUAAAAAUCUCUGGAUUCAGUGCUUUUGUCUACAAAAAGUACAAUUAUACCUCUGUGCGUAAGUGAACAGAACUUGGCAAUAUUCUAUCUACCUUUCUGAUUCCAAGCAGCCCUGAAGAUAAAUAGCAAGCAAGAACUUCAAAGUAUUGGAGGAUAUAAAAAUAUGUAUUCCACACUUGGCAGAAAUAUAUUCAAAGGAAAAGCGUUCAUAAAGAAUCCCCUUAACAGGAAGCUAUCGAAAGAUGAAUAGUCCUGGCUGUUUGGCUCAUAAACUCUGAAAUGGCCCUUAGAUGACAAAUUACCAAUGAACUCUCCAUCUGCUUGAAUUUGCCAUACAAUGAUCAUCCCAGUUGCAUAGUAUGGACUUCUACAAUGAUAGGAACAGAGAGACGACCAUCCAAUAAAAGA